rnacentral:pre_miRNA from 1 species
AAUAUACUCCCUCCGUCCGGAAAUACUUGUCAUCAAAAUGAAUAAAAGAAAAUAUAUCUAGAUGUAUUUUAGUUCUAGAUACAUCUUUUUUGUCCAUUUUGAUGACAAGUAUUUUCGGACGGAGGGAGUAGAAG